CUGAAGCAUAAGAUUUGAUUAACCUUAGUGUGCGCAGGUACAAAAGCGGCUCUGAAGGGUUGAGAAACAUCAGUUUGAAGAAUUUUCCUCAAGUGAAAACCUAAUUGCUCUGGUAUCUCCAGAUGUCGAAUGAAAUUGCUGUUAAUCUCUGCUGUAAGACUAUAUUUAUAUAUUUAUUUAUUGCAAAAUAAAAUGAGAUUUAAACAGAA